AUAAUAUUUGGAAUUAAAUCAGACUUUUUAUUUGCCUUUAAGUUUAAAAUACAUCUGAAAGUAAAUUGAAGGAAAAGAACCUCUAAAAAUUUCUCUCUAAACCAGUCUUCUAAAAAUAACAUCAAAAAAAUCAAGUAAUUAGCUAAAUAGGCUUCAUAUUCAAAGAGAAAUUACCAAUUAACCUUCCUCUGGCCCCCUAUCAAGCAAGACAGCUAGAGUUGAAAAGUGAGGAAUUCCUACAGAGGGAGGAUCUGAUCCAUUUCGAGGGAUGCCCUUGCUGGAGGCAAUACUUACUUGAAAGAAAAUCCCAGUCACUGAUUCCACUUAAGUUUAGGAACCUCUUAAGGGCUGAAAGAGAGAGUUCUGUUUGCUGAGAGUAAAACAAAUAAUCACAAGGAAGAGGGUUGGUUGACAAAGUCUGCCCAGAGCCAGAUCAGUUUUAUGUCAGUGGGUUUAGGUUUGGCACUGGAUAUAACCACGAAGAUUGUAUUUUAUUUUGGGCUCAACAUUAGUGAGAUGUAAUAUGCAAACAUUUUCUAAGCUGCAUAACCUUAAUUUGCUGAUAAGAGAGGAUGUACUAUUUGUGUUAGCAUCAGAAGCCUUCCAGGAAUUCAGAUACUGUGUGCCAGCCAUGCUACUGCUUCCCCUUGGUAGGGUAUGCUAUGCUGUCUUUUGUCACCUACAGAAACAGCUCAUGUUAAGAAAUCCUUACGUGAAAAAAAGAAAGAAAGAAAGAAAGAAAGAAAGGAGCUGGUGUUCGCAUUUCAUAGCUCUCUUAACAAUGUCACACUGAUAAGAAAAAUGGGAAAAAAUAUAUCGAAGUCCUGAUAUCCAGUCAAGGCCAUUUACCCCUGUGCCAGGGAACAAGGCUUCAUUCUAAGUCUCACCAGACGAAAUGGGAGUUUGGAAGAGGAAAUAACCCAGGUAAAUUUGACUUAUUUCCAUUGUAAUUAACCUGGUAGUACCAAAAUACUUAUCAAGCAUUUCCUCUAUAUCAUAUGCAGUAUAUUCAUUUUCACUUGAUCUUUACAAUAUUAUUACCGUUUAAUUGGCAUCCAGAUUUAAUAGAUAGCUGUCAGUGUUGUUCCCA
rnacentral:lncRNA from 1 species